rnacentral:lncRNA from 1 species
UUCCUUAAAUCCAUUAGAUCUCCUAAGGUGACAAAUCUACUCUAGCUGUUUAUAAACAGAACAUAUCGUCAGAUCUGACAAAGAGCAAGCAACUAUGGGUGGUUGUUUCCAUUCCCGCGGAAGCUGAGUGACGCUAGAAAUAACACCACGCAGAUUCUUCCCUUCUCCGGUACAGAGAACUCUUACUAUCACAUUGCAUCACGGAUCCCCUCCUUCCUGAACUCCAUCCUCCCUGCUCCGGAACAAUCUUCUUCAUUCUGUACUCCCUUGUACACUUUCAAGAAGAAAAGGACACACUUAGGGAAAGAAGUUUCCCCGAGUACACAAUGUAAAUGUCUAAAAGUGUUUUGUCAAAAGUACACAACGAGCUGGCUAAAAUAUACCGGGUAGUAAGUACUUAUUCAUUAUUGGAGGACAAGCAGGUCUUCAGUCAAGGGGCUGAAGGUUGUUCAACUAUUCCUUUGAGAAAAGGCCAC